UAGGUUUGGUGUUUAGUUGGCUGUUUGUUUGGGUGGUAAGUUGGGCUGGUGAAUGAUAGGGUUGUUGUUUAGUUGGGUGUUUGAGUGGUUGGUUAGUUGGUUGUUUGAGUGGUUGUAUGGUUGAUGUUUGAGUGGUUGUAUGGUUGGGUGUUGGGUGGUUGGUUAGAUGGGUGGUUGAGUGGUUGUUUAGUUAGGUGUUUGAGUGGUUGUUUAGUUAGGUGUUUGAGUGGUUGUUUAGUUAGGUGUUUGAGUGGUUGUUUAGUUAGGUGUUUGAGUGGUUGGUUAGUUGGGCGUUUGAGUGGUUGGUUAGUUGGGUGUUUGAGUGGUUGGUUAGUUGGGCGUUUGAGUGGUUGUUUGGUUGGGUGUUUGAAUUCAAAUUUAGGCAUAUUCUUUUUGAUUGUUGUGCUAAAUUAUUUAUUCAUUUUAAUAAUUAUUACACUCAUCAGAGAGAUGACCAUGAACCAGCAACCCUAAAAUGAAUAAAAAAUACCAAAUUUGUUUGAUUGGUUGGAUGGUUGGUAGGGUUGGUGUUUGGUUGGGUGGUUGAUUUGGUGGUUGGUUGGUAGGGUAGGUGGUUGGUUGGUUAGUUUGGUUGCUGUUUGCUUGUUUGGUUGGUUGGUUGGUUGGUUGGGUUGUUGUUCGGUUGGGUGGCUGAUUUGGUGGUUUGUUGGUUCAUUGGUCAGUUGGUAGUUUAGGUUGCUGGUUGGUUGUUAAGGUUGCUGUUUGUUUGUUUGUAUGUUUUUUUGUUUGGUUGGUUGGUUGGGUGGCUGAUUUGGUGGUUUGUUGGUUCGUUGGUCAGUUGGAAGGUUAGCUUGCUAGUUGGUUGUUAAGGUUGCUGUUUGUAUGUUUGUGUGGUUGGUUGGUUGGGUUGUUGUUUGGUUGGGUGGCUGAUUUGGUGGUUGGUUGGCAUGUUGGUUAGUUGGGUUGACUGGUUGGUUAGGUUGCUGUUUGUUUGUUUGGUUGAAAGGCUAGAUGGUUGAUUGGUUGGUUGAUUAAUUAGGCUGCUGUUUGUUUGUUUGGUUGGUGGUAGAACAUCUUUUUUUCUCACUUUUGUUCAGAAUCCAUUGUGAUUCCAUUAAGAUACCAAAGUCCUAAAGUCCAGCACCACAGUGACCACUACAGAGAAAAAAGAAAACUGUACUUUUGAAUGGAAUCAUGUAUCAUAUCCACUAUAAAGAGUAAGUGAAGGCAACGCCUGAUGUCAGUUUUGUGCAACCAUGAGCAAAAACAGCAAGAAUUAAAGGUUAAAAAACGGUUCUUGAAAAAGAGAGAUAGCGAGACAGAUUUAUCAGGACUGAUCUGUAAUUCCUGCUUAGCCAUCUGUGCUAUCUCUGACCAAUUACCUCACAGACCCACAGACGGAAGAACUUCAGUUAUACAACCGUCUAACCAAAUAAAUACGUGAUGGGCCUCAUGAUUUGCUAUGCGGUGAAGGCUGAUUACUCAGAUGAUGUAAGAUGUUCAAUUGUGUCCUAGAUAAAACGCGUACUUCUCCAACGAGCACAGGAACAGAACCACCAGAGUCAACAUCAUCAUGAACAUCAACAAAUCCCUCAGAAAACAUGUUUUUAAAAAAAAAAAAAAAAACCUAUCUAUAUCCAAUUCAAGUCUCAGAGAAAUAUCAAAAAAUUUCUUGCGACCUC
ensembl:lncRNA